GUCAGGAUGGCUGAGUGGUCCAAGGUGCUCCAUUCAGGUUGCAGUCUCUAUUGAGGUGUGGGUUCAAAUCCCACUCCUGACA